GCCUGGAUGGCUCAGUGGAAGAGCGAAUUCUUGGUAAGAAUUAGGCCGCGGGUCCGAUUCCCGCUCCAGGCU
rnacentral:tRNA from 1 species